AUAUCCAACACGCAUGUGCUGCUCGUACUAGGAAGUGCCCCUUUAAAACGCGAAGUACGCAUGCGUCAUAUCCUUUCUUCCCAAGCGUGGAAGGAGCUGGUCACAAGUCCUACACGUUGCAGUAUAACUUGAGGAACCAGAUGAUUGCUGCAGUCAAUGGAAGGAUCCUGGCCUUUGCAACUGGAAAUGGGUGACAUGAGAAGUGCAGAUGAAUAAAAACCGGUCAUUUUAAAAUGGGUCAAAGGAUUGCCACUGGACAAGGGUGACAUGAGAAGUGCAAAUGAGAAAUAACUGGUACAAGGGUCGCCACUUAGAAAACAGUGACCUGAAAAGUGCAGAUGAAUUAAUGGUACAAGGGUCGCCACUUAGAAAACCGUGACCUGAAAAGUGCAGAUGAAUUAAUGGUUGCAUAGGCUUGCACAAAAUGCAAGAUCUGUCUGCGGAAUUCUUCCAGCGCAAGGUCCCUCUGGUGCAAGGAGUCCAGGUCACGGAGAGCACAGGGAAACACCACAUUGGGUGGAAAAACAAGCGCAGAGGCCCCUGCAUUCCCAAGACAAACUUUUCUUAUUCCCAAACUCUGGAACAUGCACUCACUGAAACAGGAGCUUGAUCCUAACUAUAAACUAGUAAUGAAGUGCUAAAAGGUGAAUGGGUUAUGAUGAUUUUACAUAUUGAAAUAAAUUAUUGAAACAUU